rnacentral:rRNA from 1 species
UUGAACGCUGGCGGCAGGCCUAACACAUGCAAGUCGAGCGGUAGAGAGAAGCUUGCUUCUCUUGAGAGCGGCGGACGGGUGAGUAAUGCCUAGGAAUCUGCCUGGUAGUGGGGGAUAACGUUCGGAAACGGACGCUAAUACCGCAUACGUCCUACGGGAGAAAGCAGGGGACCUUCGGGCCUUGCGCUAUCAGAUGAGCCUAGGUCGGAUUAGCUAGUUGGUGAGGUAAUGGCUCACCAAGKCGACGAUCCGUAACUGGUCUGAGAGGAUGAUCAGUCACACUGGAACUGAGACACGGUCCAGACUCCUACGGGAGGCAGCAGUGGGGAAUAUUGGACAAUGGGCGAAAGCCUGAUCCAGCCAUGCCGCGUGUGUGAAGAAGGUCUUCGGAUUGUAAAGCACUUUAAGUUGGGAGGAAGGGCAGUAAAUUAAUACUUUGCUGUUUUGACGUUACCGACAGAAUAAGCACCGGCUAACU